rnacentral:rRNA from 1 species
UACGGCGGGCGCAAGCGUUGUUCGGAAGCACUGGGCGUAAAGCGCGUGUAGGCGGCUUGGCAAGUCGGGGGUGAAAGCCCGGGGCCUAACCCCGGAACUGCAUUCGAAACUGCCUCGCUCGAGUCCCGGAGAGGAUGGUGGAAUUCCAGGUGUAGUGGUGAAAUACGUAGAUAUCGGGAGGAACACCAGCGGCGAAGGCGGCCAUCUGGACGGUGGCUGACGCGGAGACGAGAAAGCGUGGGGAGCAAACAGG